rnacentral:rRNA from 1 species
ACAUUUCGCAUUAGAUGCGGAUGAAGAUUAACGGAUAGAAGCUACUCUAGGGAUAACAGGCUAGUUCCGCCUAAGAGUUCAUAUCGACGGCGGAGUUCGGCACCUCGAUGUCGGCUCACCUUAUCCUGGUGGUGGAGAAGCUGCCAAGGGUUUAGCUGUUCGCUAAUUAAAAAGGUACGCGAGCUGGGUUCAAACCGUACAGAAGUUAUAAAGUAGAAAGUUUAUAAAGUUAAAAGUAGAUUACAGAUGCAAAUGCAUUUUGAAUUUACUUUAUGACUUGAUAACUUGAUGAACUUUUGACUAUUGUACAGUUUGAGCCCCACGAGGAAAAUUAAAACUGUUUUAAUCUGAGAUUUAAGACCAUGGUGCACUGUUGUGCAUUCACGGCGGUAUAAUAUAGAAAUAUAUUAUAAGAAGUUCACUUAUAUCGGUGGAACCCCACUCAUGCAAAUGAAGGGCAAUACCGAGGGAAGUUUUAUGGGUUUUAUAAAGGGGAUGAGGAAGUUUUGUUUUAAAAUAUACUUGGUCUGAUUUAUUAGGCCCAGUGACCGUACUGUAACGGUCCAAAAACAGAAUCCUUUUCCUCUCUUUUAUAAAACUCAUAAGAUACCCGUAGAGACUAAAUGUGAACCAUCUUGCAAGAGAUGAAGUUAUAGUCCAAUCCACUUAGUAAUAAGUGAAAAAUCGUGUAUGACACCUUCGUCGGUGAAAACAUACAUGAUAGUAUGAUGCGUGAGACAGGUUAGUCUCCUAUCUACUGCAGGCGUUGAUUCUUGAGAAGAUUUGCUCCUAGUACGAGAGGACCGGAGUGAACUGACCUCUGGUGUGUCGGCUCUAGCGCCCGCUGGACUGCCGAGUAGCUAUGUCGGGAAUGGAUAACCUCUGAAAGCAUCUAAGAGGGAAGCCAGCUUCAAGAUGAGGAAUCGUUUGAGAAACCUGAGAGAUGAUCAGGUUGAUAGGCACUAGGUGUACAUGCAGUAAUGCAUUGAGCCAAGGUGUACUAAUCGUUCGAUUCCUAUUAGGAA